rnacentral:piRNA from 1 species
ACCUUGUCUCCCUUGCAGGGUGCACGAUGU